rnacentral:rRNA from 1 species
ACGGGUGAGUAACACGUAGGUAACCUACCCUUCAGUGGGGGACAACAGAGGGAAACUUCUGCUAAUACCGCAUACGAUCACGGACUGGGAUGUUCGUGGUGAAAGGAUUUAUUCGCUGAGGGAUGGGCCUGCGGCCUAUCAGGUAGUUGGUGGGGUAAUGGCCUACCAAGCCUGCGACGGGUAGCCGGACUGAGAGGUCGAUCGGCCACACUGGAACUGAGACACGGUCCAGACUCCUACGGGAGGCAGCAGUGGGGAAUAUUGCACAAUGGGGGAAACCCUGAUGCAGCGACGCCGCGUGGAGGAUGACGGCCUUCGGGUUGUAAACUCCUUUUGUCGGGGACAAUGGUGAUGGUACCCGACGAAUAAGCCACGGCUAACUCUGUGCCAGCAGCCGCGGUAAGACAGAGGUGGCGAGCGUUGUUCGGAAUUACUGGGCUUAAAGGGCGCGUAGGCGGUGGUGUAAGUCUAGGGUGGAAUGCUACAACUCAACUGUAGAGCUGCCUUGGAAACUGCAUUACUUGAGUCGGUGAGGGGAAGGUGGAAUUCCAGGU